GCCUCCGACGCGCAAUAUGGCCGUGGGAAGGGAAAUAUUGACAAUGAUAUUACUGCGGAGCAUAGACUCUCAAAAAUAAACACAGGAAAUAGUGUUGGGAGAAAAACAUCCGUUUGAAGGAAGGCCACAAAAACUCCUGCGAAAAACCCCCCUUACAUGGAGCAACUUUUGGAAAGGGUUAAUCGCAUGGCUGGGGAGCUUACUCUUGUCCGUAAGCAGAUUGCAACUAUAGCAGAUUCAUGCGCAGAGAGUUAUUGCAAAGUUAAAUCAGGAAGGGAUCAUUUAUAGACGUGAGAACAAAGGCACGUCUGAAGGGGACAAG